UGGGGAAUCUUGCGCAAUGGACGAAAGUCUGACGCAGCGACGCCGCGUGGGUGACGAAGGCCUUCGGGUUGUAAAGCCCUGUGGGGGGAGACGAACCGGCACGUAGCUAACAUCUACGGGCCUUGACGGUAUCCCUUUAGCAAGCAUCGGCUAACUCUGUGCCAGCAGCCGCGGUAAGACAGAGGAUGCAAACGUUGCUCGGAGUUACUGGGCGUAAAGCGCGCGCAGGCGGUCUCGUAAGUCGGGUGUGAAAUCCCGGGGCUCAACCCUGGAAGUGCACUCGAUACUGCAAGACUGGAGUACUGGAGGGGAGAGCGGAAUUCCCGGUGUAGAGGUGAAAUUCGUAGAUAUCGGGAGGAACACCAGUGGCGAAGGCGGCUCUCUGGACAGAUACUGACGCUGAGGCGCGAAAGCGUGGGAAGCAAACAGG
rnacentral:rRNA from 1 species